AGCGAACGUUAGCGGCGGGCCUAACACAUGCAAGUCGAACGAGAAAGCGGCUUCGGCCGUGAGUAAAGUGGCGGACGGGUGAGUAACACGUGGAUAACCUACCCUUCAGCGGGGGAUAACAGUCCGAAAGGAUUGCUAAUACCGCAUACGUCGGCCGGGGAUACCUGGUCGGGAAAGCAGCCCUCUCCAUGGAAGGUUGCACUGAAGGAUGGGUCCGCGUCCCAUCAGCUAGUUGGUAGGGUAAUGGCCUACCAAGGCUUAGACGGGUAGCUGGUCUGAGAGGAUGAUCAGCCACACUGGAACUGAGACACGGUCCAGACUCCUACGGGUGGCAG
rnacentral:rRNA from 1 species